GCUGCGCUAAUACCGCAUAUUCUGUGAGCAGGAAAGCAGGGGACCGCAAGGCCUUGCGCUCUUUGAGCGGCCGAUGUCAGAUUAGCUAGUUGGUGAGGUAAAGGCUUACCAAGGCGACGAUCUGUAGCGGGUCUGAGAGGAUGAUCCGCCACACUGGAACUGAGACACGGUCCAGACUCCUACGGGAGGCAGCAGUGGGGAAUUUUGGACAAUGGGGGCAACCCUGAUCCAGCCAUGCCGCGUGAGUGAAGUAGGCCUUCGGGUUGUAAAGCUCUUUCGGCCGGGAAGAAAUCGCAUGGGCCAAUACCCUGUGUGGAUGACGGUACCGGAAUAAGAAGCACCGGCUAACUACGUGCCAGCAGCCGCGGUAAUACGUAGGGUGCGAGCGUUAAUCGGAAUUACUGGGCGUAAAGCGUGCGCAGGCGGUUUUGUAAGACAGGCGUGAAAUCCCCGGGCUUAACCUGGGAACUGCGUUUGUGACUGCAAGGCUAGAGUACGGCAGAGGGGGGUGGAAUUCCACGUGUAGCAGUGAAAUGCGUAGAGAUGUGGAGGAACACCAAUGGCGAAGGCAGCCCCCUGGGUCGAUACUGACGCUCAUGCACGAAAGCGUGGGUAGCAAACAGGAUUAGAUACCCUGGUAGUCCACGCCCUAAACUAUGUCAACUAGGUGUUGGGUGGGUAAAACCAUUUAGUACCGUAGCUAACGCGUGAAGUUGACCGCCUGGGGAGUACGGCCGCAAGGUUAAAACUCAAAGGAAUUGACGGGGACCCGCACAAGCGGUGGAUGAUGUGGAUUAAUUCGAUGCAACGCGAAAAACCUUACCUACCCUUGACAUGCCAGGAACUUGCCAGAGAUGGCUUGGUGCCCGAAAGGGAGCCUGGACACAGGUGCUGCAUGGCUGUCGUCAGCUCGUGUCGUGAGAUGUUGGGUUAAGUCCCGCAACGAGCGCAACCCUUGUCGUUAAUUGCCAUCAUUUAGUUGGGCACUUUAACGAGACUGCCGGUGACAAACCGGAGGAAGGUGGGGAUGACGUCAAGUCCUCAUGGCCCUUAUGGGUAGGGCUUCACACGUCAUACAAUGGUCGGUACAAAGGGUUGCCAAGCCGCGAGGCGGAGCCAAUCCCAGAAAGCCGAUCGUAGUCCGGAUUGCAGGCUGCAACUCGCCUGCAUGAAGUCGGAAUCGCUAGUAAUCGUGGAUCAGCAUGUCACGGUGAAUACGUUCCCGGGUCUUGUACACACCGCCCGUCACACCAUGGGAGCGGGUUCCGCCAGAAGUAGGUAGCCUAACCGCAAGGGAGGCGCUUACCACGGCGGGGUUCGUGACUGGGGUGAAGUCGAAACAAGGUA
rnacentral:rRNA from 1 species